CUCUUGCACCGUGCGGAUAGCAGGAUUCUUGUAGUCCGACAAUGUUGCAAUCCGCCAUCUUAAUAAAACCACACCCUUUUUUUACAUGGGCUCUUAUGGGAGUAUUUUUUCAAAGUGCUUUUUCUCUUACCUGGAUUACAACUUCGACCAAAGAAAAAUAUGGAAAAAUACUACAUCAUUCAGGGCAUCCCCUAAAAUUUCAAAGUUGGUUUUAUCACAAGUGUGUUGUCAAAGGGUGUCCUUCUUCUUUUCUGCGCCCUGCGAUCAAUUUUAAGAGCUCAUUAAUGGGCUGAUCUCCUGAUUGAAUAGCCAGUAUCGUGUUGAUAUGUAUUUUUAAUGAUUUCAUAUUCUCAUUAUUCUGAGGUCGACACUUUCAACUCAAUUGCUGUUUCUGAUCUAGGUCCUGGCUGUUGCACAUGAAUAUAACAGUUAUUAAACCCACAGCCAAAUUGAUACUUCUAUUGAAAUUCAUUACUUUUUCUUUAAUGCAAUCCUAACAUAUUCAAAUUUUUUUAGUUACAGGCUAGGGAUAAACUCACAGCAUUGGAGGUUUCACAGGAAUUCCAAAUAUCGAUUGUGUUGGCACAAGAACGUCUUUAUUUCAUGGAAAGAAAUGGAUUGAUUUGUAGAGAUGAUACUGUUAGAGGCCUUGUCUUUUAUCCUAAUCUCUUCUCAAGUUCUGCUUAAUAAACAUUUAAAAAUUGUA